AAUCAACGCUGGCGGCGUGCCUAACACAUGCAAGUCGAACGAGAAAGGGACUUCGGUCCUGAGUACAGUGGCGCACGGGUGAGUAACACGUGACUAACCUACCCUUGAGUGGGGGAUAACUUCGGGAAACCGAGGCUAAUACCGCAUAAUACCUACGGGUCAAAGGAGCAAUUCGCUUUAGGAGGGGGUCGCGGCAGAUUAGUUAGUUGGCGGGGUAAUGGCCCACCAAGACGGUGAUCUGUAUCCGGCCNGAGAGGGCGCACGGACACACUGGAACUGAAACACGGUCCAGACUCCUACGGGAGGCAGCAGUGGGGAAUUUUGCGCAAUGGGGGAAACCCUGACGCAGCAACGCCGCGUGGAGGAUGAAGUCCCUUGGGACGUAAACUCCUUUCGAUCGGGACGAUAAUGACGGUACCGGAAGAAGAAGCCCCGGCUAACUUCGUGCCAGCAGCCGCAGU
rnacentral:rRNA from 1 species